CGGACUCUAACCUCGUAGUCAUGUACGAGUCGUGAUGACUGGUAGCAUGUUCUAUCCUCUGAUUACAGCCGGCGCGAUCUGGUGAGCUAAUGCUCUCAAAGAAUACAGCCUGGUAGUGGGGGACAACGUUCCGAAAGGAGCGCUAAUACCGCAUACGUCCUACGGGAGAAAGUGGGGGAUCUUCGGACCUCACGCUAUCAGAUGAGCCUAGGUCGGAUUAGCUAGUUGGUGAGGUAAAGGCUCACCAAGGCGACGAUCCGUAACUGGUCUGAGAGGAUGAUCAGUCACACUGGAACUGAGACACGGUCCAGACUCCUACGGGAGGCAGCAGUGGGGAAUAUUGGACAAUGGGCGAAAGCCUGAUCCAGCCAUGCCGCGUGUGUGAAGAAGGUCUUCGGAUUGUAAAGCACUUUAAGUUGGGAGGAAGGGCAGUAAGUUAAUACCUUGCUGUUUUGACGUUACCGACAGAAUAAGCACCGGCUAACUCUGUGCCAGCAGCCGCGGUAAUACAGAGGGUGCAAGCGUUAAUCGGAAUUACUGGGCGUAAAGCGCGCGUAGGUGGUUCGUUAAGUUGGAUGUGAAAGCCCCGGGCUCAACCUGGGAACUGCAUCCAAAACUGGCGAGCUAGAGUAUGGUAGAGGGUGGUGGAAUUUCCUGUGUAGCGGUGAAAUGCGUAGAUAUAGGAAGGAACACCAGUGCGAAGGCGAACACCUGGACUGAUACUGACACUGAGGUGCGAAAGCGUGGGGAGCCAACAGGAAUUAGAUACCCUGGUAGUUCACGCCGGUANAGAUGUCAC
rnacentral:rRNA from 1 species